rnacentral:rRNA from 1 species
GACGAACGCUGGCGGCGUGCUUAACACAUGCAAGUCGAACGGAAAGGCCCUGCUUUUGUGGGGUGCUCGAGUGGCGAACGGGUGAGUAACACGUGAGUAACCUGCCCUUGACCUUGGGAUAACUUCAGGAAACUGGGGCUAAUACCGGAUAGGAGCUCCUGCUGCAUGGUGGGGGUUGGAAAGUUUCGGCGGUUGGGGAUGGACUCGCGGCUUAUCAGCUUGUUGGUGGGGUAGUGGCUUACCAAGGCUUUGACGGGUAGCCGGCCUGGGAGGGUGACCGGCCACAUUGGGACUGAGAUACGGCCCAGACUCCUACGGGAGGCAGCAGUGGGGAAUAUUGCACAAUGGGCGGAAGCCUGAUGCAGCAACGCCGCGUGCGGGAUGACGGCCUUCGGGUUGUAAACCGCUUUCGCCUGUGACGAAGCGUGAGUGACGGUAAUGGGUAAAGAAGCACCGGCUAACUACGUG